rnacentral:rRNA from 1 species
GAUGAACGCUGGCGGCGUGCCUAAUACAUGCAAGUCGAGCGAACAGACGAGGAGCUUGCUCCUCUGACGUUAGCGGCGGACGGGUGAGUAACACGUGGAUAACCUACCUAUAAGACUGGGAUAACUUCGGGAAACCGGAGCUACUACCGGAUAAUAUAUUGAACCGCAUGGUUCAAUAGUGAAAGACGGUUUUGCUGUCACUUAUAGAUGGAUCCGCGCCGCAUUAGCUAGUUGGUAAGGUAACGGCUUACCAAGGCAACGAUGCGUAGCCGACCUGAGAGGGUGAUCGGCCACACUGGAACUGAGACACGGUCCAGACUCCUACGGGAGGCAGCAGUAGGGAAGCUUCCGCAAUGGGCGAAAGCCUGACGGAGCAACGCCGCGUGAGUGAUGAAGGUCUUCGGAGCGUAAAACUCUGUUAUUAGGGAAGAACAAAUGUGUAAGUAACUAUGCACGUCUUGACGGUACCUAAUCAGAAAGCCACGGCUAACUACGUG